AUGGCGUCGAGCAGGGCGAUCUUGGCCAUGGGCCUCCUUGCCGCCGUGCUGUCCCCCGCCUUGUCAAAGCGGUCGUUUAUCUCCAUGCCAGCCGACGUGAGUAGUCCUGUGACCCUGGCCAACGGCCUCUCCUACGGUUACCACGCCAACUCCUGCCCGCAGCUGCAAGACAUUGUGUGGCCGAUCGUGGAGAGCGCGGUCCUGGGUGAGGUGGCCAUCGCCGCCGGCCUCCUCCGUAUCUUCUUCCACGACUGCUUUCCUCAGGGCUGCGACGCGUCCGUCCUUCUGACGGGACCCAACAGCGAGCGGGACCUGCCGCCGAACCAGACGCUGCAGCCGCGUGCGAUGCAGCUCAUCGAGGACGUCCGCGUCAAGGUACACGCCGCCUGUGGCGCCACCGUCUCCUGCGCCGACAUCAUCGCCCUCGCCACCCGCGACGCCGUCUUCGUGGUACGUGCACACGUCGGUCGCUGCAGUUGUACUGUACAACAAAAACAUCUCCCUACCUCACUCGCGAAAGAACCUAUGCAGGCCGGGGAAAGCGAAAUGUUCUACUUCUACGACCUGCCGCUCGGCCGGUUUGACAGCCUCGAGCCGGCUAAUAGCAGCGCCGUCUUCGACCUCCCGCAGUCCACCGCCGACGCCAACACGCUCAUCAACGUCUUCAAGAGCCGCAACCUCGAGCCGAUCGACCUCGUCGCACUCUCUGGCGCGCACACUGUCGGGAAGGCGCAGUGCAGCUCCUUCAACAACCGCUUCUCCGAGGACGCCGACUUCGCCCGGAGGCUCGCCGCCAACUGCUCCAGCGACCCGAACCGGCUGCAGGACCUCGACGUGGAAACCCCCAUCGUGUUGGACAACCAGUACUUCAAAAACCUGAUGGAGGGAAAGGGGGUGUUCACCUCCGACCAAGUGCUCAUCAGCGACGGGCGCACCGACUGGGCGGUCAAAGGCCUCGCCGAGAACAAAUAUUGGUUCUACAGCCAGUUCCGUGACUCCUUGGUGAAGCUGAGUCAGUACCAACCCGGAGGAAACGUGGGCGAGAUCCGCCGCAACAGCUGCUUCACGCCCAACGGACAGAGCAUUCCCGCCACCGCCGGUGACGAGGGGUUCGCAGCCUCUGCUUGA
rnacentral:rRNA from 1 species